GGCGGUGGGAGUGGCCAACUAGUGACCUGAGGCAGGGCAGGGAGGGAAUCCAAGCAAGACGGUGGACCCCAGGAGGCGUUUGACUGACCUCAUCCUAAAGAAGCGACGUGGUUAUUUAUGAGCCCUGAUUUAAGAGUAGUGGCUGCUAAGGAAGUGAAAAAGGAGCUCACCCCAAGCUAUGAGAGAAGCUAUAGUCUCAAGAAUGCUGUUUAUGACGAUAUAAAACAACGUGGAGCUUGUGAUGGGAAAUAUGGAGAGCGGAAGACGCCCAAGCCUUGGGAUGAAAUACAGAUUGAGAAGAUGUUUGAUCACUGCAGCCCAUUAGGGCUGGGCUGCAGCCCAUUAACCCAAAUGAGAAAAGCUCUGGCUUCUCUAGGCAGCCUCUGAGCCUAAGCCGCAGGAGCCUCUGCUCAGCCGCCCGGCACAAGCAGCAGCCCCCACCGGCACCACCGCGGGCCUCCCUCCCCGCCCGCCCUCGCCCUCCCAAGGGUGCCAACGGCCUGGGAGCUGAGCGCCGUUUUACUACCUGGGCCUUCCCCAGACGUGUGCCUGUUAGUGGUGGUGUUGUUCAAGAACAUCUUGUCCAUGCCUUUGAGCGCCUCGGUGAGAUAGUUCUGCAGGGCCGUG